AUUGAACGCUGGCGGCAUGCCUUACACAUGCAAGUCGAACGGCAGCACGGGGGCAACCCUGGUGGCGAGUGGCGAACGGAUGAGUAAUACAUCGGAACGUGCCCUGAAGUGGGGGAUAACGUAGCGAAAGUUACGCUAAUACCGCAUAUUCUGUGAGCAGGAAAGCAGGGGAUCGCAAGACCUUGUGCUUUAGGAGCGGCCGAUGUCGGAUUAGCUAGUUGGUGAGGUAAAGGCUCACCAAGGCGACGAUCCGUAGCGGGUCUGAGAGGAUGAUCCGCCACACUGGGACUGAGACACGGCCCAGACUCCUACGGGAGGCAGCAGUGGGGAAUUUUGGACAAUGGGCGCAAGCCUGAUCCAGCCAUGCCGCGUGAGUGAAGAA
rnacentral:rRNA from 1 species